CAGCAGCCACGGUAAUACGAAGGGGGCUAGCGUUGCUCGGAAUGACUGGGCGUAAAGGGCGCGUAGGCGGCGGCCAAAGUCAGACGUGAAAUUCCUGGGCUCAACCUGGGGGCUGCGUUUGAUACUUGGUUGCUUGAGUGGGGAAGAGGGUUGUGGAAUUCCCAGUGUAGAGGUGAAAUUCGUAGAUAUUGGGAAGAACACCGGUGGCGAAGGCGGCGACCUGGUCCUUGACUGACGCUGAGGCGCGAAAGCGUGGGGAGCAAACAGGAUUAGAUACCCCUGUAGUCCCUGUCUCUUAUAC
rnacentral:rRNA from 1 species